rnacentral:lncRNA from 1 species
CGGGCCAGAUAUUUAGCCUACAAUGGAAUUGAUAUCAGCUAUAAUCCAUAAAAUUUAGUUACAGCAACAAAACAUCAGUGCUUGAAGUCUCACUGCUAUUGUUUCAUAUUUCCUGUAAUUCAACAUAUUAAUAGCAGUAAUCAUAAUCAUCUGUUGCUUGGUUGCACCCUUUUUCAAUUACUUUUGUUUCUCCAUUUUUAAAACUCUAUCCUGCACUUUCUUCUUGAGUUUUAAUACGUGUUAGGUGACUACAGAAACCUUUUAAUGAUGUUGUUGUUCCAGUCUAAUAACCAGUUCCUAAAAAUCAAAUGUAAACUCAGAGCUGUGAGUAAGUGGUUUUGUAAUAACAGGGGCCUGGAGUGUUCCUCUGAUGGACCUGAUAUUCCUGUGGAGCAGCAGCAGAGUCUCUUGAGCAGGUGAGCUGACGUGUUUGUCCUCUUAGCCUUGGUUGAACUUGCCCCUUGAGGCGUUGCAGUCCGACUUUGUGUCGAUCCUGUGUCAUGAGGUGGCAGAGAAUAAACGGUCUACAUCAUCAGAUUUGUUCGGUUCCCAUCACAGCGGGGAUUUGACAUGAUGUUUGUACCUACAAAAUCUAAAUAAAAUGUUUGUCUGCAUAAAUCUAAGGCUUUUAUUGUCAAGUGUGUAAUUCUUUUUUGUCUUCUUUAUUAUGAAGGAGGAAGUCUGGAGCCGCCUUCAAAUGAGAGUUUGAGACAGCCCUUCAUCAGUACUGGUUUUUCUAAUAUUUUGACUAAAAGGUAAAAUUUUGAAAUGCAUAUUCAAACUUUAAGUUAAAUGUUGCCAUAGUUAUUAGUUUAAAGCUUAUAUCAUCAACAUCCUAUCAUAUUUAGUGAAGUAUUGUUUCAUUAUGAUUAAAAAAUGUGAAAUACCUGAAACCAUUUCUUUAAUAAAGUAACAUCUGUGACCAACUUU